UUUGCCUUAAAGCAAAGAAUGUCUUGUUUAAUUUGUUGCAGACAUCUUUUAUUUGCAGAUCCCAUGAUAAGCUUUCAUCCAAUUUUUGUGGAGUUUAAUAUUAAUCUGUUUCGCUGACACCAGGAGCUAAAACUAUCGAUUAUGCAUUUUACCUUACUAAGCAGUACAUCAAUAUUUCCCCCUGUAACUGUGAUAGUGGUAUCAUCCGCAAACAUGGUAAGGUGGCAAUCUUUCAGAUAUUCUGACAAAUCAUUUGCAUACAACAAAAAAAGCAAUGGUCCAAGCACUGACCCCUGUGGCACUCCAAGCUUAACGUCGUUGCACCUUGAUCUAACAUUUUCACAUUUUACAGUCAUGGUACGCCCUUUGAGGUAAGAUUCAAUCCAUUGUAACAAGUUAUUCGGGAACCUAAGUUGGGUCAGUUUUGCAACUAGAAAUUCAGGAGACACUGUGUCAAACGCUUUUGUUAGAUCA